rnacentral:rRNA from 1 species
GACGAACGCUGGCGGCGUGCCUAAUACAUGCAAGUAGAACGCACAGUUUAUACCGUAGCUUGCUACACCAUAGACUGUGAGUUGCGAACGGGUGAGUAACGCGUAGGUAACCUGCCUGGUAGCGGGGGAUAACUAUUGGAAACGAUAGCUAAUACCGCAUAAUAUUGAUUAUUGCAUGAUAAUUAAUUGAAAGGUGCAAUUGCACCACUACCAGAUGGACCUGCGUUGUAUUAGCUAGUAGGUGAGGUAACGGCUCACCUAGGCGACGAUACAUAGCCGACCUGAGAGGGUGAUCGGCCACACUGGGACUGAGACACGGCCCAGACUCCUACGGGAGGCAGCAGUAGGGAAUCUUCGGCAAUGGACGAAAGUCUGACCGAGCAACGCCGCGUGAGUGAAGAAGGUUUUCGGAUCGUAAAGCUCUGUUGUAAGAGAAGAACGGGUGUGAGAGUGGAAAGUUCACACUGUGACGGUAUCUUACCAGAAAGGGACGGCUAACUACGU